rnacentral:rRNA from 1 species
UGGGAAUAUUGCACAAUGGGGGAAACCCGUGAUGCAGCGACGCCGCGUGAGCGAAGAAGUAUUUCGGUAUGUAAAGCUCUAUCAGCAGGGAAGAAGAAUGACGGUACCUGACUAAGAAGCACCGGCUAAAUACGUGCCAGCAGCCGCGGUAAUACGUAUGGUGCAAGCGUUAUCCGGAUUUACUGGGUGUAAAGGGAGCGCAGGCGGUGCGGCAAGUCUGAUGUGAAAGCCCGGGGCUCAACCCCGGUACUGCAUUGGAAACUGUCGUACUAGAGUGUCGGAGGGGUAAGUGGAAUUCCUAGUGUAGCG